GCUCAGGGAGACAAUGAGGAUGUCGCGGUGUAGUCUAGCAAGCAACAAGUGUAAGCUACGACUUGUUUAAUGCUGCUGCGUUACAGCUGAGGGUAAAGUUAUCUCACAUCUGGUUGAGUAACUUUUUGUAGUUUUAUUGGACCCAUAUGUAACUGCACAGCCGACAACAAGUGGUGAUCGCUAACAACAUCCAGUGAGAAGAACAACCUUAUCUUACACUGACUCUGCUCCCCUCUCUGGACUCCUGCUGGUCAUUAUCUCUGUGGAACAGCGUGUUCACGCCGGGACGUCAGUGAACCGCUCAUUGGGCCAUUUGGACCACGACUGCCUUCCAGGCUCUGUCUUUGUCGAAAUCCUGCAGCGUUCCAUUGGAUGCCUGCUGCUGAAGGGAACACAACAGGAAGAAGGGAGGGUGGAGAGAGAGAUAAGAUGUGGAAGGGGAAAGGUGACAGAAACAUUGAGAUGAAUGAUGCAUGAAGGAUGAGCAGCAUAAUGUCUUUAUUACAGCUCUCGUUGGAAACAGAGGACAGGUGAACACAGACAGAUGUGUCCAGUUGUGUCCACGACUUACCUCGCAGUAGUGACUGGAGGUGCGCAUGCUGUCAUCGCACUCCACAGCCCCCAUGCGGAGCUGACUCUU